GAUUAACGCUGGCGGCGUGCAUAACACAUUCAAGUCGAACGGAGUGUAGCAAUACACUUAGUGGCGGACGGGUGAGUAACGCGUGAGCAAUCUACCUUCAGGUGGGAAUAACAACCGGAAACAGUUGCUAAUACCUCAUGAUACAAGGACAUCGCAUGGUGACCUUGUCAAAGGCUUGCUGCCUGAAGAUGAGCUUGCGUCCGAUUAGGUAGUUGGUGAGGUAACGGCCCACCAAGCCGACGAUCGGUAGCCGGACUGAGAGGUUGAACGGCCACAUUGGAACUGAGAUACGGUCCAG
rnacentral:rRNA from 1 species